rnacentral:rRNA from 1 species
GACGAACGCUGGCGGCGUGCUUAACACAUGCAAGUCGAACGGAAAGGCCCUGCUUUUGUGGGGUGCUCGAGUGGCGAACGGGUGAGUAACACGUGAGUAACCUGCCCUUGACUUUGGGAUAACUUCAGGAAACUGGUGCUAAUACCGGAUAGGAGCUCCUGCUGCAUGGUGGGGGUUGGAAAGUUUCGGCGGUUGGGGAUGGACUCGCGGCUUAUCAGCUUGUUGGUGGGGUAGUGGCUUACCAAGGCUUUGACGGGUAGUCGGCCGGAGAGGGUGACCGGCCACAUGGGGACUGAGAGACGACCCAGACUCCUACGUGAGGCAGCAGUGGGGAAUAUAGCACAAUGGGCGGAAGCAUGAUGCAGCAACGCCGCGCGCGGGAUGACGGCAUUCGGGUUGUAAACCGCUUUCGCCUGUGACGAAGAGUGAGUGACGGUAAUGUGUAAAGAAGCACCGGCUAACUACGUG